rnacentral:rRNA from 1 species
UACAGAGGGUGCGAGCGUUAAUCGGAAUUACUGGGCGUAAAGCGUGCGUAGACGGUGGCGUAAGUCGGGUGUGAAAGCCCCGGGCUCAACCUGGGAAUUGCAUUUGAGACUGCUCUGCUCGGGUGCGGAAGAGGGAAGCGGAAUUUCCGGUGUAGCGGUGAAAUGCAUAGAUAUCGGAAGGAACACCAGUGGCGAAAGCGGCUUCCUGGUCCGACACCGACGUUCAGGCACGAAAGCGUGGGGAGCAAACAGG